rnacentral:misc_RNA from 1 species
UGGGGUGCAUACAUGGAUGGCAAAUUAAUUAUAGAGUAACAAAUAUAUAAUGGUGUAUCCUAUAAAAUACGGUCUUGUCCACGUGUUUAUAACAGUAUUUUCCUUUCAAAUUAUAAUUAUCUUUUUUUAUUUAUUAGUUAUCUUAUGAUUUGUUUAUCAUUUCAUGUAUUAAUCUUAUAUAAAAUAAAUCGGGUAUUAUUGGAGAGGGAGAGUUUUAAGUCUUUCAAGUUUAAUAUGCCUG